rnacentral:misc_RNA from 1 species
CGUAGAGUAAAAUUCCGAGUCUGAGAGCAGGCACACACGCGUGUGACGCGUGACGAGGACACACAGGGACAGAUCAAUUCUACUUCAGCUGAUCAACUUCACCAGUGGCUCAAAUCGGAGAAGAUGAUUGCUUGCGUGGCGGUGAUCGGUCAUCAGAACAAUCCACUGUACAUUCAGAGCUUCACGGAGGCAGACGAUGCUCUCAAGCUCCACCACAUUGUCCACUGCUCCCUCGACGUGGUUGAAGAGCGAGUGAAUAAUCCAAAAAAAUCUGGGCCGACACUGAAUGAGACAUUUCUUGGAUUACUUUAUCCAACCGAGAAUUAUAAAGUGUAUGGCUAUUUGACUAACACAAAGGUCAAAUUCAUCUUGGUCACUACAGAUUUAGAUGUCAGAGAUGCAGACGUGAGAAAUUUCUUCCGGAGGUUCCACGCUGCAUAUGUGGAUGCAGUUUCAAAUCCAUUCCAUGUGCCAGG